rnacentral:rRNA from 1 species
AUUGAACGCUGGCGGCAGGCCUAACACAUGCAAGUCGAACGAGUGGCGGACGGGUGAGUAAUGUCUGGGAAACUGCCUGAUGGAGGGGGAUAACUACUGGAAACGGUAGCUAAUCCCGCAUACCCUCAGCUGUUCCCAGAUGGGAUGAGCUCGUUGGUGGGGUAACGGCUCACCACGGCGACGAUCACUAGCUGGUCUGAGAGGAUGACCAGCCACACUGGAACGUAGACACGUGCCAGACUCCUACGGGUGGCAGCAGUGGGGAAUAUUGCACAAUGGGCGCAAGCCUGAUGCAGCCAUGCCGCGUGUAUGAAGAAGGCCUUCGGGUUGUAAAGUACUUUCAGCGGGGAGGCGUUACCCGCAGAAGAAGCACCGGCUAACUCCGUGCCAGCAGCCGCGGUAAUUC